UUACGGUUACAUCACAUUCAAAACACCGGUUCCCGUACGAUCACCGAAGUUAAGCAACGUCGAGCUUGGUUAGUACCUAGAUGGGUGACUGAUUUGAAAUACCAAGUGUUGUAAG